GUCCCGGUAGCUCAGUAGGUCAGAGCGCCGCCUCGACACGGCGGAGGCCGCUGGUUCGAUUCCAGCCCGGGACAC
rnacentral:tRNA from 1 species